GCCAGGUUCUGGAUCCCAGAUAAAAAUGGAGAGAGGAAGGGCUUUCCUCAGCUUCUCCACCCAGCUUAGGAGAGUAAUAGCAGCUUGCAAACAACCUGGACUAGUGCGUUGGCUCCAGAGAAGAGGUCAGGAGAUUCGGAAUCUCCAUCAUACAUUUCCAACUUGCAUGCAAAAAUAAUCAGGCAAGAACAGAGGACCAGUGUGGAGCAUGCCAUCAUGACCAAGGAUCAGCAAAAGCAGAGGCAGAGUCGCCCAAUUUGGCACAGAAACAGGAUACCAGGCAAUAGGAACCUAAGCACAGUACCCAGAAUUUGGGGGAACACAGGAGAGAGUGAGCAGUCAGUGAUGAGAGGGGCCGGUGCUGGCCUAUCCUCGGAUUAGGGGACUCUAGUGAAUGGAUGUCUUCGAUCCCAAUCCCAGAAGCUCAGUGGACAAAUUGCUCCCAGGGGGUGACAAACAACUUGGAUAUUUCAAGAAGUUGCCUUAGCUUUGAGGCUGUCUGGAGAGAAUGGAGAGGCUGAACACGUGGGACACAGGAGGCUGGGCCAGCACUGGAGCACCGCAGAUUCCCCGUGAGUAAGAGUGAAUCACCAGCCCAGGCUUCCUCCUGGCCAGGCAGAGGCAAUGGCCCAGUUUUGUAAUUGCUGAAGGUGCUUGUUGUGGAGAGUCAGUUGCCUCGCCCUGAUCUGCAUACAAUGGGCCACUGCCAGCCCAGAGACCCGGAAGCAGCCUUCCACAGUCACACCUCAGCUUCCCUGUCCCUACUCCAGGCAGUUCCAUCCACUUCCUCAAAAAGCAUCCUCGAAUUUUCCUCAGCCAGCCCCUUCCUGUCCUGUCUUCAGGCUGGCAAGCGACACUGUUGACAUCAUGUCUGCCGAGGGAGGAGAGAUUCCAAGAGGUGACUUGUGAUGUCACCCUCAUCCAAGACUGAAGGUGUUUGGUCUUUUGUCAUCUGCUGUGCAUUCCUCUGUGUCUUAACUGGAGCCAGAGUCCCUGAGGCACAGCCUAGGACAGGAAAGUCACUCUGAGAUGGUUACAACAUCUUUCUUUCAUCAGUAAAUCCAGAGGACUCAGAGGUAGUGUAAAACUAUUGCUGUGGGAUUUGUUCAUUCAUUCAGUGAGAAAUUUUCCAUUUUUUUGAAGCUAGCAAAAGGUGCAGGCUGGUGGCCUUGGUUAGUAUCUGACUGACAAAAGACAGAUUUGGAUUAAAGCUUGUGGGAUCCUUGAAUGCUGAUCCAAGUACUGCCAUGGAUAGUAUCCAGAGGGGAACCAUUGAAAUGUUGCCAGAAGGGAAACAAACCCAAUUUUCUCAUUCUCACUACUUUCCUGUAGACAGUAACAGUUUGCCCAUCGAUCCAACAAACUCUGUUGUGCCCCUCCAAGAGCACAGGGAUGCUGGCUGCAGGGUGCAGGAUGGUGUCCCCAGGGCCUGUUCUGGUCCCUCAGUGAGCAAUGGCAGAGCCUUGGGCCCGCCCCCAGGGUCCAGAAGGGAAAUGGGAAGCAAAGGCAGAAGCCAGGAACAGGGACAGCUGGUUGGCUGACCUUCCUACCCAGGUCCAGCCCUCCCCCAAGGUGUGACCUGUGCGAGAAAUGGAUCCACAGCUGCAGUUUCAAAACCGGCCCUGCCCAAGCUGGUCACCUCCAUUGCAGUAAGUGACCUACAUUAAUGCUACUGCUGGGGCAGGCAGGGGCAUGAGUGCUGACAGGAGAGUUAAAUUAGCCUGGGAGGUAGGCACCGGGGAAGUUAAGUAGAAAGUAAAACCCAAAGGAUGGAGGUGCUUUGGGGACUGUGAGGGGGAGGUGGGCUGGGAAGAAAGGCAGCAGUCAGCCCAGCAGGGUGGCCUGCUUUGGGGGGCAGUGGGAAUCAGGCAGGAAAGGCAGGUUUGAACUAGCCUAUGGGUGUCCCUAAAGUUCAAGUAAUUGCCCAGGUUGGAUUCAGAGAAGAUCCCAGUGUGUGCUGAGGAGGAUCAAAUACUAACUGAGAACCGCACAGAUGUCGGAGACUGUGUUAGUGAAGGGGUUCAUCAUGGGUGUGGCUUGCCCCCCAGGGACAGUUUCUAGUUUGGGGGAUGGGUCAGAAAUGUGGUAGCAAUAUUUGCAGGCUCUUCAUGUUGCUUAGGGAGGAGGCAAAAGACCUGACUGGGAGGGCAGGAUUGGGGUGGGUAGGUGGGUGGGGCUGUACACCACCAGGGUUCUGCAAUAAUCUCUCAGUCACAGACCGAAGAGAGAGCCAGGGAAGGGAUGAAGGACUAGGCAGGGACCUGAGGCAGGAGUGGAAGGGAAGAUGGGAGAGUGGAGGAGCAGUCACUUGGAUGGAUGGACAGGGUCGGAGGAGACCAGGACGAAAGGCAUCCAUAGGAAAAUGGGUGUGGCUUGGUACUGGGUGAGACAGCUGCACGGAAUGGGAGGGGAAGAAAAAGGACAGACACGUGGGCUCUGGGGAUGUGUGCGCUGCCUUGCUCUCAAAUCCGGUUGUUUUCCUAUAGCUGGGUUUUGCUUUUAAAUAAAUCGGUUAUUCCUUCCUGUUAUAGAAAGAGAAGAAAACUCUCCCCAGCCUCCCAAAGACCAAUACUGCCAACACUUUGGAAAUAUUUCUGUCAGGUCAUUUUUCCUGCAUCAAUUUCUGUUUGGUUUUCACAUUGUUCUAAUCAUACUGUGUUUACAACUUUGUAUCCUGUUGCAUUUAACAUCCAGGGUGUAUCUGGAUUUUUUUUCUGCAUGUUAAAUUUAUCCUGGUUAUUAUAAAUGUUCAUUUUCCAUAUGUAGUUAUGUAAAGAGUAUCAUUCCAUUGUUUUUUUUCUUUCUUCACAGCAAACUUUGAAAAUGUUGCUUCCUCCCCAAUUCCUCCUCUCUCUCUUUCAUCCUUCUUUCUCUCUUCCCUUUUCCCUUCCUGCUGCUUACUAGUCCCCCCUUACUGCCUUCUUCCAUCUCUGGAGUCAGGAGCAGGGGCUCUUUCCUUGGUAAGAGACACAGACAGGACAUCUAUAAAGCCACAGGUCCAGGAGUCCUGGGGCACCUGCUUGGCAGAAGGAAAACAUCUGAUGAUAAGUCUCCCAGCUGAUUGGUAACUAACUCCACCCCUGGGCUGGAUGUGAGGGUGUGGAGAGGCAGGUGAGGCUGGGGCAAGGUGUCUCAAGAUGUUACCUAGGGUGUUUAAGAAUAUAGAGUCUCGGGCCUGGGAUUUAGCUCAGUGGUGCCACUGCCUGCCUGGCAAGCGCAAGGUCCCGAGUUUGAUCCCGGGUACCAAAACAAAACAAAACAAGAAUAUAGAGUCUUGGGUCGGGGAUUUAGCUCAGUGCUGCUGCCUGCCUGGCAAGAACAAGGUUCCAAGUUCGAUCCCUGGUACCAAAAAAAAAAAAUAAAUAAAAAUAAAAUAAAUAUAAGAAUAUAGAAUCUCUGAAAAAUGGAAAUAAAACACAUUCCAUUUAGAGUGAAAGAGGGUCUGGUCUGUCAGUAAGCCCUGGCCCAUCGUGGAAAGAGCGUUUCAUUAUCAUAGAGUAUUCACAGUAAUGUUUCAAAAAACCUGUGAGUCCUUCUUUUGCUUGGUGUCAUUAAUGGGCAGGUGUACACAGUCCCCACCUCCGCCACCUACACACUGUCCUUCCUUCUUCUCUGUCUGUCUGUCUCUCUCUCUCCCAACCCAGUGAAAUUUCCAAAGGCAUCUUUGUUCAGUAAUCAUGACAAUCUCCCUUGUCCCAAAUGCUUCCCUGUCCCCAGCCCCUGUGCAUAUAUUUCUCAUCAUGCCACAGGAGGUAGGGACUAUCACGCCUAGAGCAUGCCUUGCUUGUCCCCAGUCACUUGACCAGAUCACACAAAGAAAAAGCAGGAGAGCCUGGAUUGAAACUCAGGUGACUGACCCCCAAAGUCCUUUCCCUGAACCACCACACCCCACUGUGUUACAUUUGUGCUUCACAUUUUCAAAUCAAGAAUGCAGUGCUGGUGGAAAUUAAUUGCAGAGACACUCAUGAUGUUCAAAGCUCUUGCACUGUGAAUGUAGAUGAUGUACCAAGGACUCUGCAUUGUUGAUGAUUCAGAUUUUGGGUGACUGCAUGGAAGAACCUAUCUUUCCCUAAGUUUUCAGGGAGCUGAGGUGGUUCAGCUGCUCUUAUAGAUGUUGAGGCUUUGACUCCAUGACUAAGGGCCUCAGUGGGAAAGGACUGUGUGUUGCACUGGUCUAAUCUAAUUAGGACACUGCUGCCUGUCUCUGAGGACUGGAAGAGUCCACCCUCUCUCAUCCAGUGCCUCUGUUCUGUCUCUUUAUUGGCCUCAGAGCAGGGAGUAUACCAAAUAAAGCACCCCGCCAGGAAGAAGGGGUCACCAGUGUCAGGCUGAAGACCCCUCUGUGCAGCUGCCUGGAGACUCCUGCAUGACCUUCCCUUGGGGAAGCAGCUGGGCCUGGCAUGUACCCACCCACUAGCCACAUGUUUCCUGCCCCAAAUGUCAUUUGACCAUGAUAUAAUGAGCUGUAUAAAAUUAAAAAUGGCUAAAUACCACCUUAUUUACAGUAAUUUUCUACUUUCUGAAGUCAUCCCCAAACCUCUCCUUUACAACACCGACCUCCAGAUCAUGCCAAUUGCAGUGAGAAGCCCAUCAUUACAACCACAGACCACGAGGAAACUAGCACAGGACCUGGAGCUUGCUGGCUCACUGGCUGCUGCUCUGGCCCCAUCAGCCUGUUUUUCCAUCACAUGCUUUUUAGGCAGUAGGGAACUGGGCAGAGGGAACCCUCAGUUCUCUGCCCCCAAACUGGGGACCCUUAAGAAUAUCUCCAAGUAAGCAGCUGGGUUCAGAGGAACGUGUACAUCCACUUGCCGGAGUUGGAGUUGGGAUUUGGGCUUCUGCAAUCUGCACUUGGGCCUUACAAAGUGUGAGUCUUAUUUGUAGGUGGCUCUUGAGUCAUUGUUGUGUCUUAAUCUGUGUGGACAGUCUUGCAGCACCCUCCUUCUUCCUAAGGCUAUCUGUUAUGGACUGGAUUGUGUACCUCUUCCAGCCUCCAAUUCAUUUGUUGAAGCCAUAAUGUGGCUCAGAAUGUGACUAUAUCUUUACCAAGGGCCUUUAAGGAAUUCAUAAGUUAAAUAAGAUCACAUGGAUGGGCCUUCAUUAGAUAGGACCGGUGUCCUUAGCAGAAGAGGAGGAAACACUGGAGCUUGCUCUCCUCAUGCUCACAGAGAGAAAGAGGGCCCUGCCAACACCUUGACCUGGGAUUUCCAACCUCCAGACCUGAGAGAAAAAAAAUUCUGUUGCUUAAUCUACUUGGUCUGUGGUAUUUGAUUAUGGCAACCUUAGAAAAUGAAUAUAUCGUCUGUGUGAUUUCUUAUAUGAUAAGGUCUUACAAUGAAACAUAAAUGAAUUGAUGACUAUUUCUAUAAGGAAACUGAUAAGAACCCUUGAGUUAUCAUGGGAAGAGUUAAAUUCUCCAUGCUUGAGCUAGUUUAGCCAGUUCUUUCUUAUUGGCAAAAAUUCUACAGUUGAAAUUAUUUAAGACAUUAACUAAAACAAUCUUAAGUCUCUCUAUUUCCUGCUCUUUCUGUUCCCGUUACUUUUUUUUUUUUUUUUUUGAGAUAGGAUCUUACUCUGUAGCUCAGGCUGGCCUUGAACUUUCUAUCCUCUUGCCUCAGCCUCCUGAGUGCUGGGAUUACAGGUGUGUAACGACCACAUUUGGCAUCCCACUACUCUUAAUCACUCUCAUUCCUCCUCCUCUAGUCCAACCCUUGGCAAGUCAGGGCAUUGGCCUGUUGACAUUGAGCACUCUUCCAGGCCACCUCUGUGUUAGGCACUGGAGGUAUAGGAAUGAAGGAAGCAGAUCAUGGCCCUUGCUCUUACAUGGCUUCUGUUGAAGUAGGGGAAAGCAGAAAUCAAAAUAAACAAGGAAUGUAUCUGAGAGUGAAAAGCUAGUGAGUAAUUCAAACCACAGCAGUGUGAUAGUGGCUGAGAGCCUGCUGAGAUGGGGCAAAGAGAAACCUGUCCUGUCCACCCUUUCAGAAACAUUUUUCACCUUGCCUCUGUUGCCACCCCCACCACAUGAACCCAUGUGCCUUGGCUGGGUUCCUGCCAAAGCUUUCUGACUGGUGGUCUAUCUGCCACCUCGUUGGCCUUACUGUAAUCUACUUUCCAUAUAGCAGUUAGUGGAUUAUUUUAAAAAUGCAGCCAGUUCUCAUUAUUCACAAUAGUCAUGCUCUAUAAAGUCAACUCAAACACUGAAUUAGGGAAUGUGGAAACAUUGCUCCUGGGGGGAAUGCAGGGCUGGCUUCCUUCAAGCCUCUGGCCACAACACUCCUCCACCCAUCACUAUAUGACCUUGUUUUAUGUGAGUUUCUGUGUAGACACCUUGUUUAAUCCAUAUUUCUGACUCACUAACAUUGAACUCUCAGCCAGUUGCACCACAGCAGCCUGCAUGGAGCUUCUCUACCACGUGUACACUCUUCAUGAGGCCCAGUUAGCCUUCCUGCACUCCUGACAUAGACAGUGCUGCUGUUCCGAGGGAAUGUGGGCCCGAGGAGUGAGCAUUUGAGAAAGCAAAACCAAUGAAAGAAAGACAAGAAGUGCAAAGAAAGAAGAAAAAAGGCACUGAAGACAUUGUUUACAUUCUGAGAGUGGAAACAAGGCAGAGUGUCUCCCUGUCCGACCUUAGCUGGGAGCCCACAGAUCGGGUGACUCACUUUCACUUUGCUCCUGUCUGUGAAUGACUUCAGACUUGCUGCCCAGAGUUGAUUUAGGGUUACACACAUGUAUGCGCGCUUGUGUGUGCACGUGCACACACACACAUAUACACAAGCACACACGCAAAUAUGGUUUUCAAGAGUCUCAUCCAAAAUUCGGGGGUUGCUAAUGUGAUGGUUCUAAGAGGUAGGGCCUUUGAGGAGCAAUGAGGCCAUGAGGCUCCUCAUCUCUGAGUGGGAGGACCCAGAGACAUGGGCCAUCUUGGAAGCAGAGAGCGGCCCUUGCUAUGGUGUGCACCAAACCUGCUGGUGCCUUGGUCUUGGACUUCUCAGUUUCUAGAAGUGUGAGAAAUAAAUUCUAUUUUUUUAUAAAUUACCCAGUUUCAGGCCUUUUGUUAUAGCAACACAAAGACACGUGCUCACACUGCACAUACACACUGCCUCCUUGUUUUUUCUUCCCCAUUUUUCUUUCUCAAUUUGAUCAUUACGGCAGGAACAUUUCUCUUUAUUCCAUUGGUGAGCUACAAGUGCCAUGUAGGAGUUGAUGUUCAGAGGGAUAACAGACUCAGUGCCUCAAACCUUCAAUAUUUGUUAAGUAAAUGACUGAAUGCUUUAGGAAAAGUCCUUGAGUUAGGAACUAUUUCUUUACACUGAAAUCCUCAGUUCUAGUCAAUGUCUAGCUGUGGAUAGCUAAGUUUGAUAAGUGACUGAAUGAAGAAUAGAAUGACAUGUUUUAAACACUAAACUAAAGUAGAAGAACAGUGCUUAGUGACUCUGAAGUUUUUGAAAAGUAUCUAGAUAUUCUCUUCAGAACUUCACAAAAUUAUUUGUCAAUUUCUUCAUCUAUAUUUAGACUUACUUUACUUUGUUUUUUUAAAAAAAUUACUUCUUCAAUAUUGUUUUUUAGUCUUCUGACUUUAAAAAGAUUACUCAAUUUUAUUGAUUGCCAAUAAGAAUAUUUCAGCUCUGCAGUGAUUUAAAAAGAUUUUUAUAGAUGGAGAACUUAAUCUUUAUCUAUUUAUGAUUAUGUUCAUGAGAAAAAUAGAUUCCAAGGCCCAAAAAUUACACCUUACCUAUUGAUUUCUGAAAAUGUAAUUCAUUUCAUAAUGUGGG
ensembl:lncRNA